rnacentral:rRNA from 1 species
GAUGAACGCUGACAGAAUGCUUAACACAUGCAAGUCUUUGGCGAAGCUGUGCUUGCACCGCCUAGCCAAGGCGGACGGGUGAGUAACGCGUAAGGAACUUGCCCUGCAGUCAGGGAUAACAGACGGAAACGACUGAUAAGACCUGGUAAAGUCAGGCGGACUCAUGUCCAGCCUGAUGAAAAGAGAUGCUGCAGGAGAGCCUUGCGUCCUAUUAGCUUGUUGGUGGGGUAACGGCCCACCAAGGCGAUGAUAGGUAGCCGGCCUGAGAGGGUGGACGGCCACAAGGGGACUGAGAUACGGCCCUUACUCCUACGGGAGGCAGCAGUGGGGAAUAUUGGACAAUGGGGGCAACCCUGAUCCAGCAAUUCUGUGUGCACGAUGAAGGUUUUCGGAGUGUAAAGGGCUUUCAGCAGGGAAGAAAAAAAUGACGGUACCUGCAGAAGAAGCGACGGCUAAAUACGUG